rnacentral:rRNA from 1 species
UACGUAGGACCCGAGCGUUGUCCGGAUUUAUUGGGUUUAAAGGGAGCGCAGGCGGGAGGUUAAGCGUGACGUGAAAUGUAGCCGCUCAACGGCUGAGUUGCGUCGCGAACUGGCUUUCUUGAGUGGGUACGACGGAGGCGGAAUUCGUGGUGUAGCGGUGAAAUGCUUAGAUAUCACGAAGAACGCCGAUUGCGAAGGCAGCCUCCGAGUCCUUUACUGACGCUAAAGCUCGAAAGUGCGGGUAUCGAAC